rnacentral:rRNA from 1 species
AACGAACGCUGGCGGCAUGCCUAACACAUGCAAGUCGAACGAGACCUUCGGGUCUAGUGGCGCACGGGUGCGUAACGCGUGGGAACCUGCCCUUAGGUUCGGAAUAACUCCCCGAAAGGGGUGCUAAUACCGGAUAAUGUCUUCUGACCAAAGAUUUAUCGCCUUUGGAUGUGCCCGCGUUGGAUUAGCUGUUUGGUAGGGUAAAAGCCUACCAAGGCGACGAUCCAUAGCUGGUCUGAGAGGAUGAUCAGCCACACUGGGACUGAGACACGGCCCAGAAUCCUCCGGGAGGCAGCAGUGGGGAAUAUUGGAACAUGGGCGAAAGCAUGAUGCAGCAAUGCCGCGUGAGUGAUGAAGGCAUUAGGGUUGUAAAGCUCUUUUACCCGGGAUGAUAAUGACAGUACCGGGAGAAUAAGCUCCGGCUAACUCCGUG